rnacentral:rRNA from 1 species
UACGUAGGGUGCAAGCGUUAAUCGGAAUUACUGGGCGUAAAGCGUGCGCAGGCGGCUUUGCAAGACAGAUGUGAAAUCCCCGGGCUCAACCUGGGAACUGCAUUUGUGACUGCAUGGCUAGAGUGCGGCAGAGGGGGAUGGAAUUCCGCGUGUAGCAGUGAAAUGCGUAGAGAUGUGGAGGAACACCGAUGGCGAAGGCAGCCCCCUGGGCCAAUACUGACGCUCAUGCACGAAAGCGUGGGGAGCAAACAGG